rnacentral:misc_RNA from 1 species
AAGUCGUAACAAGGUCUCCGUAGGUGAACCUGCGGAGGGAUCAUCAAAGGAUAUUAUCUUUUAUACUAAAAGGGAAAGGGGGGUUAUUAGUGUAAUAGUAGUAGCCCUCCUUUUUCCCUUUUCAAACAAACGAUCACAACUAUAUGCAAUAAAACAAAAAGGGUAAAUUGGAUUGGUGUGGGGGGGGCAGAAAUUUUCUGCGAUUGGACACAAAUGGAAAAAGUGGUUGCCUGAUAUAUAAAAUGUGCAAUUUCUGGAUGAAAUGGUAAUAAAAAGAUACAACUUUCAACAACGGAUCUCUUGGCUCUCA